rnacentral:rRNA from 1 species
UUCGGGAUAAGCCUUGGAAACGGGGUCUAAUACCGGAUAUGAGCACCGGCCGCAUGGUGGGUGUUGGAAAGUUUUUCGGUGGGGGAUGGGCUCGCGGCCUAUCAGCUUGUUGGUGGGGUAAUGGCCUACCAAGGCGUCGACGGGUAGCCGGCCUGAGAGGGCGACCGGCCACACUGGGACUGAGACACGGCCCAGACUCCUACGGGAGGCAGCAGUGGGGAAUAUUGCACAAUGGGCGAAAGCCUGAUGCAGCGACGCCACGUGAGGGAUGACGGCCUUCGGGUUGUAAACCUCUUUCAGCAGGGAAGAAGCGCAAGUGACGGUACCUGCAGAAGAAGCGCCGGCUAACUACGUGCCAGCAGCCGCGGUAAUACGUAGGGCGCAAGCGUUGUCCGGAAUUAUUGGGCGUAAAGAGCUCGUAGGCGGUCUGUCGCGUCUGGUGUGAAAUCCCAUGGCUCAACUGUGGGCUUGCAUCGGGUACGGGCAGACUAGAGUGCUGUAGGGGAGACUGGAAUUCCUGGUGUAGCGGUGGAAUGCGCAGAUAUCAGGAGGAACACCGAUGGCGAAGGCAGGUCUCUGGGCAGUUACUGACGCUGAGGAGCGAAAGCAUGGGGAGCGAACAGGAUUAGAUACCCUGGUAGUCCAUGCCGUAAACGUUGGGCACUAGGUGUGGGGGCGGGUUCCACUCGUUCUGUGCCGUAGCUAACGCAUUAAGUGCCCCGCCUGG